rnacentral:rRNA from 1 species
UACGAAGGGUGCAAGCGUUACUCGGAAUUACUGGGCGUAAAGCGUGCGUAGGUGGUUUUUUAAGUCCGUUGUGAAAGCCCUGGGCUCAACCUGGGAAUGGCAGUGGAUACUGGAAAGCUAGAGUGCGGUAGAGGGUAGUGGAAUUCCCGGUGUAGCAGUGAAAUGUGUAGAGAUCAGCAGGAACACCCGUGGCGAAGGCGGCCCCCUGGGCCGUACCUGACGCUGAGGCGCGAAGGCUAGGGGAGCGAACGGG